GACGUAGGGGGCCAGCGUUGUUCGGAAUUACUGGGUGUAAAGGGUUCGUAGGCGGUGCGGCAAGUCGGGAGUGAAAUCUCUGGGCUUAACCCAGAGGCUGCUUCCGAAACUGCUGUGCUUGAGUGUGGGAGAGGCGCGUCGAAUUGCAGGUGUAGCGGUGAAAUGCGUAGAUAUCUGCAGGAACACCCGUGGCGAAAGCGGCGCGCUGGACCACUACUGACGCUGAGGAACGAAAGCUAGGGGAGCAAACAGG
rnacentral:rRNA from 1 species